rnacentral:rRNA from 1 species
GCGCGAAAACUCCGCAAUGCGCGAAAGCGUGACGGGGUCAUCCCGAGUGCCGUCCGCUGAGGAUGGCUUUUGCCCGGUUUAACUAGUCGGGUGAAUAAGGGGAGGGCAAGUCUGGUGUCAGCCGCCGCGGUAAUACCAGCUCCCCGAGUGGUUGGGACGAUUAUUGGGUCUGAAGCGUCCGUAGCCGGCCGAAAAAGUUCCCCGUUAAAUCUGGCGAUCCAAUCGUUAGGCUGCGAGGAAUACUUUUCGGCUUGGGGGGCAGGGAGGUCGGCGGUAGUCCCGGGGUAGGGGCGAAAUCCUAUAAUCCCGGGAGGACCACCAGUGGCGAAGGCGGCCGACUAAAACGCGCCCGACGGUGAGGGACGAAAGCUGGGGGAGCGAACGGGAUUAGAUACCCCGGUAGUCCCAGCUGUAAACGAUGCAGGCUAGGUGUUGGGACGGCCACGAGCUGUCCCAGUGCCGCAGGGAAGCCAUUAAGCCUGCCACCUGGGAAGUACGGCCGCAAGGCUGAAAUUCUUGAGAGUUUUGAAAAUCAAUGCUCUCGGAACAGUUUACUAAAGGAAGUU